rnacentral:rRNA from 1 species
UACGUGAAACCGUUCAGGGGUAAACCUGAGAAACCCGAAAGGUCGAAAGGGGAGAUUCAGCGUGUCUCGUUUGCGACGCUGAACGGUCGCGCGACGGAAGACGCACGCGUCGUCCGCACCUUCCGUUCUUCGAAUCGCUUUCGAACGCGUGCACUUCUCCCCCUGUAGGACGUCGCGAUCCGUUGGGUGCCGAUCUAAGGCCCGCGGUGGAGUCCGUCCGAACGGUUUGCGCCGUCUCGGACGAACCCGCGGUGUUUCCCGGUCGGCUCGCUCGACGGUAUACUAACGGCGCGGGGCCGCUACACAGUUAGCGUUCGACUCCCGGCAAGCUCGCUCGUCGCGACGGUGAUCGGACCCGGUGCCGAUCCCGUCCCCGGGCGACUGUUCGCCGCGGAAGUUCUCGAACAGACCUCGUCGAAACGCCGAUCUGCGACGCUAUAGCUUUGGGUACUUUCAGGACCCGUCUUGAAACACGGACCAAGGAGUCUAGCAUGUGCGCGAGUCAUUGGGACAUGACUAAACCUAAAGGCGCAAUGAAAGUGAAAGUCCGCCUAGCGCGGAUCUAGGGAGGAUGGGCGACCGUUGCGGCUGUCGCCCCGCACUCCCGGGGCGUCUCGUUCUCAUUGCGAGAAGAGGCGCACCAAGAGCGUACACGCUGGGACCCGAAAGAUGGUGAACUAUGCCUGGUCAGGACGUAGUCAGGGGAAA